GAAAUGCGAUAAGUAGUGUGAAUUGCAGAAUUCAGUGAAUCAUCGAAUCUUUGAACGCACAUUGCGCCCCUUGGUAUUCCAUGGGGCAUGCCUGUUCGAGCGUCAUUUGUACCUUCAAGCUUUGCUUGGUGUUGGGUGUUUGUCUCGCCUCUGCGUGUAGACUCGCCUCAAAACAAUUGGCAGCCGGCGUGUUGAUUUCGGAGCGCAGUACAUCUCGCGCUUUGCACUCAUAACGACGACGUCCAAAAGUACAUUUUUACACUCUUGACCUCGGAUCAGGUAGGGAUACCCGCUGAACUUAAGC
rnacentral:misc_RNA from 1 species